rnacentral:rRNA from 1 species
ACGGGUAGCCGGCCUGAGAGGGUGACCGGCCACACUGGGACUGAGACACGGCCCAGACUCCUACGGGAGGCAGCAGUGGGGAAUAUUGCACAAUGGGCGGAAGCCUGAUGCAGCAACGCCGCGUGAGGGAUGACGGCCUUCGGGUUGUAAACCUCUUUUAGCAGGGAAGAAGCGAGAGUGACGGUACCUGCAGAAAAAGCGCCGGCUAACUACGUGCCAGCAGCCGCGGUAAUACGUAGGGCGCAAGCGUUAUCCGGAAUUAUUGGGCGUAAAGAGCUCGUAGGCGGUUUGUCGCGUCUGCUGUGAAAUCCCGAGGCUCAACCUCGGGCCUGCAGUGGGUACGGGCAGACUAGAGUGCGGUAGGGGAGAUUGGAAUUCCUGGUGUAGCGGUGGAAUGCGCAGAUAUCAGGAGGAACACCGAUGGCGAAGGCAGAUCUCUGGGCCGUAACUGACGCUGAGGAGCGAAAGGGUGGGGAGCAA